UACGGGGGGGCAAGCGGUUGUUCGGAAUUACUGGGCGUAAAGGGCUCGGUAGGCGGCCAACUAAGUCGGAUGUGAAAUCCCCAAGCUUAACUUGGGAACUGCAUCCGAUACUGGAUGGCUUGAAUCCGGGAGAGGGAUGCAGAAUUCCAGGUGUAGCGGUGAAAUGCGUAGAUAUCUGGAGGAAUACCGGUGGCGAAGGCGGCAUCCUGGACCGGCAUUGACGCUGAGGCGCGAAAGCCAGGGGAGCAAACGGG
rnacentral:rRNA from 1 species